rnacentral:rRNA from 1 species
UACGUAGGGUGCGCGCGUUGUCCGGAAUUAUUGGGCGUAAAGAGCUCGUAGGCGGUCUGUCGCGUCGAUCGUGAAAACUUGGGGCUUAACCCUGAGCUUGCGGUCGAUACGGGCGUGACUGGAGUUCGGCAGGGGAGACUGGACUUCCUGGUGUAGCGGUGAAAUGCGCAGAUAUCAGGAGGAACACCGGUGGCGAAGGCGGGUCUCUGGGCCGAUACUGACGCUGAGGAGCGAAAGCGUGGGGAGCGAACAGG